rnacentral:rRNA from 1 species
AGUGAACGCUGGCGGUAGGCCUAACACAUGCAAGUCGAACGGCAGCACAGUAAGAGCUUGCUCUUACGGGUGGCGAGUGGAGGACGGGUGAGGAAUACAUCGGACUCUACUUUUUCGUGGGGGAUAACGUAGGGAAACUUACGCUAAUACCGCAUACGACCUACGGGUGAAAGCAGGGGGUCUUCGGACCUUGCGCGAUUGAAUGAGCCGAUGUCGGAUUAGCUAGUUGGCGGGGUAAAGGCCCACCAAGGCGACGAUCCGUAGCUGGUCUGAGAGGAUGGUCAGCCACACUGGAACUGAGACACGGUCCAGACUCCUACGGGAGGCAGCAGUGGGGAAUAUUGGACAAUGGGCGCAAGCCUGAUCCAGCCAUACCGCGUGGGUGAAGAAGGCCUUCGGGUUGUAAAGCCCUUUUGUUGGGAAAGAAAAGCAGCAGGUUAAUACCCCGCUGUUCUGACGGUACCCAAAGAAUAAGCACCGGCUAACUUCGUG